rnacentral:lncRNA from 1 species
GCUGCCGUCGCCAUGACCCGCGGUAACCAGCGAGAGCUCGCCCGCCAGAAGAACAUGAAGAAGCAGAGCGACUCGGUUAAGGGAAAGCGCCGAGAUGAUGGGCUUUCUGCUGCCGCCCGCAAGCAGAGGGACUCGGAGAUCAUGCAGCAGAAGCAGAAAAAGGCAAACGAGAAGAAGGAGGAACCCAAGUAGCCUUGUGGCUUCGUGUCCAACCCUCUUGCCCUCCGCCUGUGUGCCUGGAGCCAGUCCCACCAUGCUCGAGUUUCUUCCUGUAGUGCUCACAGGUCCCAGCACCGAUGGCAUUCCCUUUGCCCUGAGUCUGCAGCGGGUUCCUUUUGUGCUUCCUUCCCCUCAGGUAGCCUCUCUCCCUCUGGGCCACUCCUGGGGGUGAGGGGGUUACCCCUUCCCAGUGUUUUUUAUUCCUGUGGGGCACACCCCAAAGUAUUAAAAGUAGCUUUGU